AGUACCCCGAGGAAAAGAAAUCAACCGAGAUUCCCCCAGUAGCGGCGAGCGAACGGGGAGCAGCCCAGAGCCUGAAUCAGUGUGUGUGUUAGUGGAAGCGUCUGGAAAGGCGCGCGAUACAGGGUGACAGCCCCGUACACAAAAAUGCACAUGCUGUGAGCUCGAUGAGUAGGGCGGGACACGUGGUAUCCUGUCUGAAUAUGGGGGGACCAUCCUCCAAGGCUAAAUACUCCUGACUGACCGAUAGUGAACCAGUACCGUGAGGGAAAGGCGAAAAGAACCCCGGCGAGGGGAGUGAAAAAGAACCUGAAACCGUGUACGUACAAGCAGUGGGAGCACGCUUAGGCGUGUGACUGCGUACCUUUUGUAUAAUGGGUCAGCGACUUAUAUUCUGUAGCAAGGUUAACCGAAUAGGGGAGCCGAAGGGAAACCGAGUCUUAACUGGGCGUUAAGUUGCAGGGUAUAGACCCGAAACCCGGUGAUCUAGCCAUGGGCAGGUUGAAGGUUGGGUAACACUAACUGGAGGACCGAACCGACUAAUGUUGAAAAAUUAGCGGAUGACUUGUGGCUGGGGGUGAAAGGCCAAUCAAACCGGGAGAUAGCUGGUUCUCCCCGAAAGCUAUUUAGGUAGCGCCUCGUGAAUUCAUCUCCGGGGGUAGAGCACUGUUUCGGCAAGGGGGUCAUCCCGACUUACCAACCCGAUGCAAACUGCGAAUACCGGAGAAUGUUAUCACGGGAGACACACGGCGGGUGCUAACGUCCGUCGUGAAGAGGGAAACAACCCAGACCGCCAGCUAAGGUCCCAAAGUCAUGGUUAAGUGGGAAACGAUGUGGGAAGGCCCAGACAGCCAGGAUGUUGGCUUAGAAGCAGCCAUCAUUUAAAGAAAGCGUAAUAGCUCACUGGUCGAGUCGGCCUGCGCGGAAGAUGUAACGGGGCUAAACCAUGCACCGAAGCUGCGGCAGCGACGCUGAUGCGUUGUUGGGUAGGGGAGCGUUCUGUAAGCCUGUGAAGGUGUGCUGUGAGGCAUGCUGGAGGUAUCAGAAGUGCGAAUGCUGACAUAAGUAACGAUAAAGCGGGUGAAAAGCCCGCUCGCCGGAAGACCAAGGGUUCCUGUCCAACGUUAAUCGGGGCAGGGUGAGUCGACCCCUAAGGCGAGGCCGAAAGGCGUAGUCGAUGGGAAACAGGUUAAUAUUCCUGUACUUGGUGUUACUGCGAAGGGGGGACGGAGAAGGCUAUGUUGGCCGGGCGACGGUUGUCCCGGUUUAAGCGUGUAGGCUGGUUUUCCAGGCAAAUCCGGAAAAUCAAGGCUGAGGCGUGAUGACGAGGCACUACGGUGCUGAAGCAACAAAUGCCCUGCUUCCAGGAAAAGCCUCUAAGCAUCAGGUAACAUCAAAUCGUACCCCAAACCGACACAGGUGGUCAGGUAGAGAAUACCAAGGCGCUUGAGAGAACUCGGGUGAAGGAACUAGGCAAAAUGGUGCCGUAACUUCGGGAGAAGG
rnacentral:rRNA from 1 species